rnacentral:rRNA from 1 species
CUGCCCGAUGGGUAGUAAACUUCAUUAAUAAAGGAAUAAAGUCGGGAACGCAGACCCGUGAGCAUGCACUUUAAGAAUAAGGAUCGGCUAACUCCGUGCCAGCAGCCGCGGAAAUACAGAGGAUCCGAGCGUUAUCCAGAUUUAGUGGGUUUAAAGGGAGCGUACAUGGAAGUAUAAGUCAGGUGAGAAAGUUUGCGGCUCAACCGUAAAAUUGCAGGAGAUACUGGAUGUCUUGAGUGCAGUUGAGGCAGGCGGAAUUCGUGGUGUAGCGGUGAAAUGCUUAGAUAUCACGAAGAACUCCGAUUGCGAAGGCAGCCUGCUAAGCUGCAACUGACAUUGAGGCUCGAAAGUGUGGGUAUCAAACAGGAUUAGAUACCCUGGUAGUCCACACGGUAAACGAUGAAUACUCGCUGUUUGCGAUAUACGGCAAGCGGCCAAGCGAAAGCGUUAAGUAUUCCACCUGGGGAGUACGCCGGCAACGGUGAAACUCAAAGGAAUUGACGGGGGCCCGCACAAGCGGAGGAACAUGUGGUUUAAUUCGAUGAUACGCGAGGAACCUUACCCGGGCUUAAAUUGCACUCGAAUGAUCCGGAAACGGUUCAGCUAGCAAUAGCGAGUGUGAAGGUGCUGCAUGGUUGUCGUCAGCUCGUGCCGUGAGGUGUCGGCUUCAGUGCCAUAACGAGCGCAACCCUUGUUGUCAGUUACUAACAGGUGAUGCUGAGGACUCUGACAAGACUGCCAUCGUAAGAUGUGAGGAAGGUGGGGAUGACGUCAAAUCAGCACGGCCCUUACGUCCGGGGCUACACACGUGUUACAAUGGGGGGUACAGAGGGCCGCUACCACGCGAGUGGAUGCCAAUCCCUAAAGCCCCUCUCAGUUCGGACUGGAGUCUGCAACCCGACUCCCCGAAGCUGGAUUCGCUAGUAAUCGCGCAUCAGCCACGGCGCGGUGAAUACGUUCCCGGGCCUUGUACACACCGCCCGUCAAGCCAUGGGAGCCGGGGGUACCUGAAGUGCGUAAAGGGGAGGAUCGCCCUAGGGUAAAACUGGUGA